UACGAAGGGGGCUAGCGUUGCUCGGAAUUACUGGGCGUAAAGCGCACGUAGGCGGCUUUCUAAGUCGGGGGUGAAAUCCUGGAGCUCAACUCCAGAACUGCCUUCGAUACUGGAGAGCUCGAGUCCGGGAGAGGUGAGUGGAACUGCGAGUGUAGAGGUGAAAUUCGUAGAUAUUCGCAAGAACACCAGUGGCGAAGGCGGCUCCAGCUG
rnacentral:rRNA from 1 species